rfam:Triticum aestivum genome assembly, contig: Triticum_aestivum_CS42_TGACv1_scaffold_642900_T_1AL-0.166332_7AL-0.134312
UUACUACUCCCUCCGUCCGGAAAUACUUGUCAUCAAAAUGGAUAAACGGAGAUGUAUAUAGACGUAUUUAAUUUGUAGAUACAUCCGUUUUUAUCCAUUUUGAUGACAAGUAUUUUUGGACGGAAGGAAUAAUUC